ACUGGAAUAGGAAUUUCUUUAAGCACUAGUACAGUAUAACACACUGUAUUUCAAGUUUACACGUAUAUAUGCUCGUACAUGUAGAUGGAAUUGGUGUCAGGAUUAAAAGAUAUAAACUAUAUAUAAUGUAUAUUACUUAUUGUAAUGAAGUUCAUCAAAGCGGCCAUAUCCUGUUAUAAUUAAAAAGUAAUUGGUUUUGCCACGGAAGUGUAAAUAUCAUUCAGAUGAAAUUAGUGACUUAUUUAGCAAUUUAGAAUUUAAAUUUCAUUUUUGAUUAUAAUUCUUUGAACACAGAAGCUAUUUCCAUCAUUAUGUCAACUGAAAGGAUCCCAAAGAUUGGCCCCUGUAACGGAAGACCCUAUGGCUGUUGUCGUGGAACUUCUUGGAACGCCUCUCUUAAGAAAUGCACAGAAUGUAGACCAGGAUAUUUCGGUUUACACUGUGAGAUGCCCUGUGAAUAUCCAUAUUAUGGACCAUUUUGUCUUAAGAAAUGUUUCUGCACAGAAUCCAAAUGCAAUGUUUCAUUUUGAUGUUCACAUCAUUUCUCUGAAACCGUUUCAAUGACCACCACGAAUGGGAUGAUAGCUACAGAGGACAAUAUUUCUUUCAAAUCCACAAGUAUGGAUAUUUUUGAAUCAGUUUCAAACAACGACAGUAAUAACAUUCACGUCCCUACUUUAAUUCUAAUUGGUAUAUGUACAUCCUUCCUUGUUUUUUGUACAAUUUUACUGAUAUUGAUGAUUGUUAGAAAGUAUAAAAAGCACAAAUCAAACACAACUAACACAAGUGCCUGUCUUUAUCAGAGCUCAGUCAAUCAAUCGGAAUCAAGUUAUACGUAUCAGCGAUUGCAUUCAACUAAUAUAUUUUCCGGUGUUUCAAAUGUGACAAUAACCUACGAAAAGUCAUUAAAAACUUAUUCAAUUAAACUUCAGUCUGAAAACGAGGGAGAAAUUGCCACCAAUGAAAAUCUGGACAGCUAUUACGAUCAAUCGGAAGAAAUUAACGACAACAGGCACAUACUAAGCUCUGAAACAGACGGCGAUAGAUCGGUAUAUAACAUUGCAGAAGAAAUUGAAGAAACAGAAUUUAAUUGAUGGCAUGAAGAAAAAAAAACUGUUCAAUAGGUAUACCCUUGUGAGUAAAAUAUAACAAUACACAUUGAUGGUAGAGAAAAAGAGUCUAGAAACAUCAGAGGUGGGGUGAGGUGGGGAAGAUGACUAAGCGUUUCUUAUCAGUCAUUUAAUACCUUGUGAGCGCAUUCGUUUUCUUGAUUUGAUAUACCGAGAAAUCUAUCAGUAAAUAGAUUUCUUUAAUCUAUCUAUAUUCUUCUUUUUUUUUUACUACGAAAACAGUAUUUGUUUCCAUUUUAACUUUUUUCAAAUUGUUUCUUUGCUGUGUUUUGUACAA